CCAGCCCGCUCAGAAACUCAAAGGAACUUGACGGGGGCCCGCACAAGCGGUGGAGCAUGUGGUUAAUUCGAUGAUACGCGAGGAACCUUACCUGGGCUCAAAUGUAUGUUGACGUAUUCUGAAAGGGAUACUUCUUCGGACAAUAUACAAGGUGCUGCAUGGUUGUCGUCAGCUCGUGCCGUGAGGUGUCGGGUUAAGUCCCAUAACGAGCGCAACCCCUAUCAUUAGUUGCCAUCAGGUCAAGCUGGGGACUCUAAUGAAACUGCCUACGCAAGUAGUGAGGAAGUGGGGAUGACGUCAAAUCAGCACGGCCCUUACGUCCAGGGCUACACACGUGCUACAAUGGCCGGUACAAAGGGCAGCUACCUGGUGACAGGAUGCUAAUCUCAAAAGCCGGUCUCAGUUCGGAUCGGAGUCUGCAACCCGACUCCGUGAAGCUGGAAUCGCUAGUAAUCGCGCAUCAGCCAUGGCGCGGUGAAUACGUUCCCGGGCCUU
rnacentral:rRNA from 1 species